ACAAAAUAGGGCUGGGGAUGUGGCUCAGUGGUUAAGUGCCUCUUGGUUCAAUCCCUGGUACCACAAAAAACAAAACAACAAUAAAAAAAUAAGUAAAUUUUAUAGUAUAUUGGAAGGAGGUGGUAAGUGCCAAGGGGAAAUAGCAGAGUAAAGAAGAGAAUAAGUUCUGGGGUUUGGGAGAAGUGUGGGAUAUAAUUUUAAAUAGGGUUAAGUUAGACUACAGGAAAAAGUACUAUUUUUGUGUGUGUGAUAAUGGGGAUCAAACCCAGGGCCUAACACAUGCUAAGCAACAUGCUAAGCAAGCAUUCUACCAUUGAACUACAUCCCUAUCCCUAAGAAAAUGGUGUUUAAAUAAAACAGUGAUUCUCAACUGAGGGCAUUUUUGCCUCUCAGGAGAUAUUUGGCAAUAUCUGAAGCCAUUUUUGGUUGAUAUCACUGGAGAAUGGUUGAGUCCUGCUAUUAGUAUCUGGUAGGUAGAGACCAGGGAUACCAUUAAGUGUCUGUACAAUGCAUGAGGAAGCCUCCUAUAGCAAAGAAUUAUCUUCCCCAAAUGUCAGUAUUGCUAAGGUUGAGAAAUCCAGGAAUAAAAAUUUAAAGAAAAUGAGCAUAUUAGCCAUGCAGAAGUCUGAUUGAAGAGCAUUCUAUGCAAAAAGAACAGAUGUUGCAAAGGAUCUAAGAUGGGACUGUAACUUUCUUGGCUUCCUGGAGGACCUGAAAGUAGGCUCAGGAAUGUUAGGAAGAACAAACUUAUAGCAGGAGAUGAGGUGAGAGUUGGCAGAGGCCAGAUCAUGCAGUGUCUCAGGGGUCAUUGGAGGAACUUUCGCUGCUCUGAAUGAAAUGAGGACCAAUU
rnacentral:lncRNA from 1 species